GACGAACGCUGGCGGCGUGCCUAAUACAUGCAAGUAGAACGAGUUGCGAACGGGUGAGUAAUGUCUGGGAAACUGCCCGAUGGAGGGGGAUAACUACUGGAAACGGUAACUAAUACCGCAUACAAACGGAUGUACCCAGAUGGGAUUAGCUAGUAGGUGGGGUAACGGUUCACCUAGGAGACGAUCCCUAGCUGGUCUGAGAGGAGGACCAGCCACGCUGGAACUGAGACACGGUCCAGACUCCUCCGGGAGGCAGCAGUGGGGAAUAUUGCACAAUGGGCGCAAGCCUGAUGCAGCCAUGCCGCGUGUAUGAAGAAGGCCUUCGGGUUGUAAAGUACUUUCAUUCAGGAGGCGUUACUCGCAGAAGAAGCACCGGCUAACUCCGUGCCAGUAGCCGCGGUAAUAC
rnacentral:rRNA from 1 species